rnacentral:rRNA from 1 species
CUAAUACAUGCAAGUAGAACGCUGAAGGAGGAGCUUGCUUCUCUGGAUGAGUUGCGAACGGGUGAGUAACGCGUAGGUAACCUGCCUGGUAGCGGGGGAUAACUAUUGGAAACGAUAGCUAAUACCGCAUAAUAGCAGUUAUUGCAUGAUAACUGUUUGAAAGGUGCAAUUGCAUCACUACCAGAUGGACCUGCGUUGUAUUAGCUAGUUGGUGAGGUAACGGCUCACCAAGGCGACGAUACAUAGCCGACCUGAGAGGGUGAUCGGCCACACUGGGACUGAGACACGGCCCAGACUCCUACGGGAGGCAGCAGUAGGGAAUCUUCGGCAAUGGACGGAAGUCUGACCGAGCAACGCCGCGUGAGUGAAGAAGGUUUUCGGAUCGUAAAGCUCUGUUGUAAGAGAAGAACGAGUGUGAGAGUGGAAAGUUCACACUGUGACGGUAUCUUACCAGAAAGGGACGGCUAACUACGUGCCAGCAGCCGCGGCAAUACGUAGGUCCCGAGCGUUGUCCGGAUUUAUUGGGCGUAAAGCGAGCGCAGGCGGUUAGAUAAGUCUGAAGUUAAAGGCUGUGGCUUAACCAUAGUACGCUUUGGAAACUGUUUAACUUGAGUGCAAGAGGGGAGAGUGGAAUUCCAUGUGUAGCGGUGAAAUGCGUAGAUAUAUGGAGGAACACCGGUGGCGAAAGCGGCUCUCUGGCUUGUAACUGACGCUGAGGCUCGAAAGC